CCUACGGGUGGCAGCAGUGAGGAAUAUUGGUCAAUGGGCGUAAGCCUGAACCAGCCAAGUCGCGUGAGGGAUGAAGGUUCUAUGGAUCGUAAACCUCUUUUAUAAGGGAAUAAAGUGUGGGACGUGUCCUAUUUUGUAUGUACCUUAUGAAUAAGGAUCGGCUAACUCCGUGCCAGCAGCCGCGGUAAUACGGAGGAUCCGAGCGUUAUCCGGAUUUAUUGGGUUUAAAGGGUGCGUAGGCGGCCUUUUAAGUCAGCGGUGAAAGUCUGGGGCUCAACCGUAGUAUCGCCGUUGAAACUGGGGGGCUUGAGUAUGUGUGAGGCACGCGGAAUGCGUGGUGUAGCGGUGAAAUGCUUAGAUAUCACGCAGAACCCCGAUUGCGAAGGCAGCCUGCCAGGCCAUGACUGACGCUGAUGCACGAAAGCGUGGGGAUCAAACAGGAUUAGAUACCCCAGUAGUC
rnacentral:rRNA from 1 species